GCUUGUCUCAAAGAUUAAGCCAUGCAUGUCUAAGUAUAAACAAAUCUAUACUGUGAAACUGCGAAUGGCUCAUUAAAUCAGUUAUCGUUUAUUUGAUGAUCUCUUACUACUUGGAUAACCGUAGUAAUUCUAGAGCUAAUACAUGCACAAAAUCCCGACUUACGAAGGGAUGUAUUUAUUAGAUACAAACCAACAUCGUGGUGAUUCAUAAUAACUUUGCGAAUCGUAUGCCUCACGGCGACGAUGAAUCAUUCAAAUUUCUGCCCUAUCAAUUGGCGAUGGUAGGAUAGAGGCCUACCAUGGUGUUAACGGGUGACGGGGGAUUAGGGUUCGAUUCCGGAGAGGCAGCCUGAGAAACGGCUACCACAUCCAAGGAAGGCAGCAGG
rnacentral:rRNA from 1 species